CCACGAAGCCACAGGCCUCUAUCUCCUUUCCUCAAACCUGCCGCCACACCAACGCAACCCUGCCCACGCACGUGACCUCCUCUCUCUCUCUCUCUCUCUCUCUCUCUCUUGUUUGUGUGAUCCGCCCUCCCACAUAGCCGCACGAUCAUCGCCAUCUCGAGUGGUGGGAGGAGAGGGCGACGACGAGCAGUUUUGAUCUGUCAUCUUCUUCGACGCGGAUGGCAGCAUAUCGAUCCGGCGCAGGAGGUUCGGGAUGUUCGUUGCUGCUGCGAAGAGGUAGCGAUGGGAUUCAGCGAAGGGCAAGGGUGCCGAUCUCCCUCCUCCCGCUCCCAAUCGCUGAUGUGGCCACCAUCAACCUGAUCUUCACCACCUCAGGAUUGCAGAAUUGUUCCCUUUGGUUUGAAGGAACUGGGCAGGAUUGAGAUUGAAUUGUUCAAUUACUAUUAGGAUCUGAAUCUGGUGGACUCCAUACCAUGAUGCUAAAUCUUCUUACGGGUAGCUUUUGAUGCAGCAGUGGACAGUAAGAUUGUUUGCUGAAUCAGCCCAUGCUCACACGAAUAAUUGGUCGCUUUUUUUGCCCAUUCGCUUCUGAUGUUGACACAAGGAGAGGAUGCCCAUAUUGUAUAAGCCGUGGUACAAAAUCCUCCAUUCAAUUAAAACCACAAUGGAGAACGAGGCAAGCCAAUAAGUUGAGAAGGUCCAAGAGUUGGCAAAAGCCGAACUGGCUGUAGCUCUUGCAAAAGAGAAAGCAUCCUAGAUCAAACAUAUUUCUGAAGCGAAUCUCAAUUUAUUACCUGAUAACUCUGUAGUACAUUUUCUGUGCCAACAUUACAUUACUUAAUCACUUUGAUUAGUGGGAGCAACUAAGCUGUUGUUGUAGGUACACAUCAUCGGAUUGAAGGGUGAGGAGAAGCAGAAGCAGAUCAAUAGGUUGCUAUAUUAUUCCACAUAUAUGGUUUUGUGUGAUGUUACUUUGGAUUACUAUAGAUGGUUCAUCUAUAAUGGAUAUUAGUGGCUAUUAAAAAUUAGUUUUGAUUUACUAUGGCAAUAGUUGUUGGUUACAACCAUUAAAAAGAUUGAUUAGUUCCAUCAGAUUAUUUGAACUGCAGCAAGGAAUGAACAUUACAACUCUCUUUGAUUUUCUUGAUGUUUCCUCUUUUGUCUGGUCUGAAAUAAUAUGUCUUGUCUAUAUAUUCUACUCUGCAUCAUCAUUUUCUUCUAUAUUACUGAUAGGAGAAUAUUGUAAUGGCACUUCAUUAGUUAGCGGUAAUAGACACAACUCCAGUCAUACCAUGUUAGUACAAUUAAUUUAUUUCAAUUCCAAACAUGUAUCAGUUGCAGAAGAUGUGGCACGAGUUGGUGGGCAGCUGGCUGUAGCCGUAGCAAGAGCAUUCAGAGACAUGAGCUGCUAUCCGUACACACGUAUAUAUUAGCUUGUGCACUGUCUCUUUGUCUCUCUACUACCUUGCCUACCCAGUCAUGCUUUGAAUUUGCUCUUAGCUUGGUGAGGUUAUUGUGAGGUAUUUAAUUUAUGUUCAUAAACGGAAAAAAUGAUGCAUGGUGAGAUUUUAGGUGUAUCUUAUUGACUGCAUGAUUACAUAUAUCGUGAUGUUACUCAGCUAUUAUUCUCAUUUGCUUCCCAUUGUGCAUUUGGUUUGUUGCAGGUCUUACACACCCGCACUUCUUCCUUAUAUUGCAUGGAUCCGACUAAGCCUUCCAUGUGUCUCUCCCAUUUUUUGAAGCUCUCGCAGAGAAGAAAUUAAGGUUUUCUUAGCAUUUCAGCUUCAUCUAGGAAAGUUAUAAUCAUUGUAUUAGAAAAAACACAAAUGAUCCUCUCACAAUGAUGGAAAAUUAGUUGUGAGCGAUGACUUGUGUUCUCUAGAGAUUUUUAAUUUAAGUGCAUGGUUGUCAA